GACAUAUUCAAGAAUAUCCAUAAGUAAUAACUAUAAGCUUUGUCAUAGAUAACUGUAUUGGCUGUGUUUAAAUGUACAACUCUGUUUUUCUAUUAUUAUGUGAUAUUUCAUGUUGACUUGUCAAACUGAAAAAUACCCAUAUUGAUUUUGCAGAAAGCUUCACAUGUGAGAUAAAUGCACUCAAAGAUUCCUCACAAGUAGCUCUUUGGAGCUUCGGAUGUGAAAUGGAUCAUUCCUCAAUCUGUAAUAGACCCUUCUGUGAAGCUCUUCAAUCAAACCAGAGAAUUCAAGCAUCCUAAACAGAAGGAUAUUGCAGGGAGCUGAUUCUGCUUUGAUCCUUGUGCUUGUUGUCAAAGCGCUUGGGAUUGAAGAGACUGUUGGCUACAAUUGACUGUGACAAUUAGGAGAUGAUCAGAGCCCUAGAGUGGAGCACUUAAAGGGUAAUUUACAUGUCAGUUUGUCGAAUAAAAAAAAAGAUAUUCAGCUAAGAUUUUUUUCCCCCUCAGAGCCUUGUAAACUGCAAUUUGUGCUCUGGUAAGAAAAACCUGGCAGAGGAGUUAGGAUAGCCAUUACCAUUUGAAAAGAAGCAAUCAUAAGGCCGCUGCUGAGUCCUUUGUCCACUAAAAAUGCUGAUUUGCAGGCAGUGAGUGAAAAAGUGGAACCGUCACUAAAUAAAACCGCGAGCUAGGUGACUACCCUCCACCCCAAUCCUUGGUGGCUUUUUAGUGUUGGUUAAAGGUGUUUUUUUUUUUUUUUUAAAUGUAUCAUAAAUCCUACAUUUACUAUCAUUACAACCCUGUUAUUGGUUAUGAAUGUCUUGUCCUAUAAAUAAAUAAGUAAAAUGGUCACACUGAGGAGUGGUGGUGGAAUAUAAGCCAAUAGUCAAUUGAAAGGCUAAAG
rnacentral:lncRNA from 1 species